AGGACGAACGCUGGCGGCGCGCUUAACACAUGCAAGUCGUACGGGGCCCUUCGGGGUUCAGUGGCGAACGGGUGCGUAACACGUGAGUGACCUGCCCUUGUGCGGGGGAUAACCCGGGGAAACCCGGGCUAAUACCGCAUGCACUCCAGUGGCUUCAUGGCUGUUGGAGGAAAAGUGCUGUAAGGCACUGCGCAGGGAGGGGCUCGCGGCGUAUCAGGUAGUUGGUGAGGUAACGGCUCACCAAGCCGAUGACGCGUAGGGGGUCUGAGAGGAUCGGGCCCCCCCAGACGUUGGGACUGAGAUACGGCCCAGACUCCGUACGGGAGCAGCAGGUGGGGAAUCGUGCGCAAAUCGGGACCGAAAGGGCUAGGACGCAGGCGGACGCCGCGGUCGGCGGGGAU
rnacentral:rRNA from 1 species